AUUGAACGCUGGCGGCAGGCCGAUCACAAGCAAGUCGAGCGGAACGGCGGACGGGAGGAUAAUGCCUAGGAAUCUGCCUGGUAGUCGGGGUUAACGUCCGGAAACGGGCGCAAAUACACCAUACUAUCAGAUUAGCCGAGGUCGGAUUAGGUAUUGUGUGGGGUAAAGGCCUACCAAGGCGACGAUCCGUAACUGGUCUGAGAGGAUGAUCAGUCAAACUGGAACUGAGAAACGGUCAAGACUCGUACGGGAGUCACUCGUGGGGAAGAUGGAACAAUGGGCGAUAGCCUGCAGAAGCCAUGCCGCGCGUGUGAAGAAGGAAUUCAGUUUUUAAAGCAUUUUAGGUUGGGCGACGUUACAAUCAGAAUAAGCCCCGGCUAACUUCGUGCUAGCAGCCGCGGUAAUUC
rnacentral:rRNA from 1 species